AACGAACGCUGGCGGCAGGCUUAACACAUGCAUGUCGAGCGCCCCGCAAGGGGAGCGGCAGACGGGUGAGUAACACGUGGGAAUCUACCCAUCCCUACGGAACAACUCCGGGAAACUGGAGCUAAUACCGUAUACGCCCUUCGGGGGAAAGAUUUAUCGGGGAUGGAUGAGCCCGCGUUGGAUUAGCUAGUUGGUGGGGUAAAGGCCUACCAAGGCGACGAUCUAUAGCUGGUCUGAGAGGAUGAUCAGCCACAUUGGGACUGAGACACGGCCCAAACUCCUACGGGAGGCAGCAGUGGGGAAUAUUGGACAAUGGGCGCAAGCCUGAUCCAGCCAUGCCGCGUGAAUGAUGAAGGCCUUAGGGUUGUAAAGUUCUUUCACCGAUGAAGAUAAUGACGGUAGUCGGCGAAGAAGCCCCGGCUAACUUCGUGCCAGCAGCCGCAGUAA
rnacentral:rRNA from 1 species